GAUGAAGAACGCAGCGAAAUGCGAUAAGUAAUGUGAAUUGCAGAAUUCAGUGAAUCAUCGAAUCUUUGAACGCACAUUGCGCCCGCCAGUAUUCUGGCGGGCAUGCCUGUCUGAGCGUCAUUUCAACCAUCAAGCCCUGCUUGUGUUGGGGUCCUGCGGCUGCCCGCAGGCCCUGAAAACCAGUGGCGGGCUCGCUAGUCACACCGAGCGCAGUAGCACAUCUCGCUCAGGGCGUGCGGCGGGCUCCAGCCGUUAAAGCACCCACCUUUCGCAAGGUUGACCUCGGAUCAGGUAGGAAUACCCGCUGAACUUAAGCAUAUCAAUAAGCGGAGGA
rnacentral:misc_RNA from 1 species